UGGGGAAUUUUGGACAAUGGGGGAAACCCUGAUCCAGCCAUCCCGCGUGUGCGAUGAAGGCCUUCGGGUUGUAAAGCACUUUUGUCAGGAAAGAAACGUCAUGGGUUAAUACCCCGUGAAACUGACGGUACCUGCAGAAUAAGCACCGGCUAACUACGUGCCAGCAGCCGCGGUAAUACGUAGGGUGCAAGCGUUAAUCGGAAUUACUGGGCGUAAAGCGUGCGCAGGCGGUUCGGAAAGAAAGAUGUGAAAUCCCAGAGCUCAACUUUGGAACUGCAUUUUUAACUACCGGGCUAGAGUGUGUCAGAGGGAGGUGGAAUUCCGCGUGUAGCAGUGAAAUGCGUAGAUAUGCGGAGGAACACCGAUGGCGAAGGCAGCCUCCUGGGAUAACACUGACGCUCAUGCACGAAAGCGUGGGGAGCAAACAGG
rnacentral:rRNA from 1 species